CCUGCCUGGCAAGCACAAGGUCCUGAGUUUAAUCUCCAGUACCAAAACAAACAAAAGAAAUCAAACUAUUUCCCUCUAAAUAAAAUUCUUCUAUUAGAGCAACAUUUUAUUAGAGUUCUAGGUGUUCCACAGCAAUUCUAAUAAUGUGCUUUUUCAUUUGAUAAAAUAUUUAACUGCUUUUCUGUCUCUUCCUCCCCCAGCCUGACUCUGUGCAGUUUGGACACCGCCUUAUAGUACGAUCAAACCAUUCACUUCCAUAAUCACUGCAGUGGACCAAUUCAUGCAGAGAAGAUAAAACUGUGCUGGACCAAGUCAUCUCUGCCCUUCAACACAACUCAGUGCCCUGGCUGGGAAGAACUCUGUGCUACAUGGGUGUUCUGCACUGCCUGGGAGAGGCUGGAAAGUCUCCUUUUUCUCAAACUAUAUAGGGAUAAGGGGGUACAAGAAAGUACCCCCUUUAUAGACAAAGUGCUAAGUCUAUGCUGUGAAUCACCAACACAAGUGAUAAAUCAAAUCAAACAUUAGGAACUCAGAGUUUCAAAAAUGGCUAUUCCAGAAUCCAAAUUCUGAAAAUAAUGCAUUACAGUAUUAUCAUUCAAUAAAAAUUUCAUUUAAAAUGUUGUUAGCACUAAUGUUGCAAUUUGAGUGACAGAAACAUGAAAACAUGAGUGAAAAUAACCCUUAUGUUGUCCCUGCAGUUUUCUGGUCUUUCCAGCAGUCAAGGACAGGCAAAAUCGUUAAUUGAGGAAGUUGGUAGCUGCGCUUUGGCAGAUUUCCAGAAAGCGCUCACUGCAUAUGUAGGGUCAAGGCAAUGGCGCAGGGCCCUGUACAACACAGACCACAUCCAGAGUCACCGGCCUAGGGCACGUCAGUGGUCCUGGAAGUUCAUCACACCAUUGCUCCUGAAGCCAAACUGCCUGGCGUGAAAUCCCUGUUUCACACUUGAAAUUAUCCAGUCUCUCUGUGCAUGUACUGAGUUUCUCAUUGGUAAAGUGAUAAUAAAAUAUUCAUAUGGUUGUUAUAAGAUCAAGACAAUAUAUAUUUCAAAUAGAGAAGUUCUAGGGCAGAGUAAGUGUUCGAUAAGUAUUAGUUGUUGUGGUUGUUCUUGUAUUAUUGUAUGUCAACAUAUUUUUAAAUAAUCCUCUGUCAUACAUGCUUUAAGUAGCUGAUGGUUUUGAGACUAUUCUAUUCCAAUAGUCUGUCUAUUCUUGAGCCAUUACUAAAGUAUUUUAAUUGUUACAUAUUUGUAAUAGAACUCUGUCUCUUAAAACUUGGUCUCUUGUCUUUUCCAUUCCAACUUGUUUUAUAUAUUCAUGGAUACUUGGAAUUUUUAUUUGAAUUGCAUUAUAGAUGAGUUUGACAGGAAACAUAACCUUUAUAAUGCUGCCCUUCUAGUCAAAUACACAGCACACCCCCAGUUCAUUCAGAUCUUUU
rnacentral:lncRNA from 1 species